rnacentral:rRNA from 1 species
UAAUAGUGUAUAUUAAAGUUGUUGCAGUUAAAAAGCUCGUAGUUGAAUGUUGGUGUCGAACGAGCGGUCAGCUUCGGCUGUACUGCUCUCUCGACUCCUUCCUUCUGUGGACUACGUCGCACUUUACUGUGUGGCGCUAGGACGCAGAUCGUUUACUGUGAAAAAAUUAGAGUGUUCAAAGCAGGCCGUACGCUUGAAUACAUUAGCAUGGAAUAAUGGAAUAGGACGUCGGGCCUAUUUUGUUGGUUCUAGGACCGUCGUAAUGAUUAAUAGGGACAGUUGGGGCCGUUUAUAUUCCGUAGUCAGAGGUGAAAUUCUUGGAUUUACGGAAGAUAAACUACUGCGAAAGCAUUCGGCAAGGAUGUUUNCGUUA